UAUUGGGCCCACAUGCACCUGUCCUUGUCUCAAAGACCUUAGACAACUAUGUAUGUGCACCGGAUAACAUAAAAGGAUCUGAUCGAGAGACCCAAGGAUCCCGAAUAAACCACUUAUAACCAAGAUCGCAGAAUUAAAUAAACACAAAUCACACACCAACAUUUGUAGCCGAAAUUCUUUAUUACAACAUGUUACAAAUUACAACAAGUUUACGUUAUAUUUAUCGGAGUGAUUACAAAAGUGAUUCAAAGAAAUAUACUUUGAAAUAUUAUAAAAUAUUUGUAAUUUUCCAAUAUAUGCUAGUUCAGUGACAACCCUCAAUAAGAAGUAUAGCCCAUCGGCACUUAGCACCAUCCACAACAGCACAAAUCUAGUACCUACAACAACAUGGGUUGAAAGAACCCUGAGUACGAAGGUACUUUCGCAAAUCUUACUCGACUAAAGAAAAAUACUCUCAAUAAUAUGUUGGCUUUUGGAAAUCAAGGUAAGGCUUUAGCAAAAAUCAAGCUUACUCAUUUGCAUAAAUAAGCAUCUAACAGUGGAUCCUUACUUUCAACAUUUUAAUGCCAGAUUAAGCAUUAAUUGAUCUUGUUUGCACCUGGUUGAAUUUCAUCAUCACAUUAAUCAAUACACCAAUAUUUUUUACUCAUUAUGAUUCCAUCCAUGACCUACGAUGCAAGUUAGUGAACAAGUCUCCAUUAUCCGAGGAUGUAACGACGAUCCAAAUCGAUUUACCCAGCUGGAGAUCUCUAACCACACGACGUAUGUAGCACCUAACCCUUGCAUAUGUCAACCCGUCCCCUACUAUCUCAAUACCAGAACAUGUUCACGCUAACCGAGAGCACAAUUACUCCACCGUCCAACCACUUGCCACGGAGGGUACACGCUACUCUCACCAACUCUUCAUUCCCAUUGUGUGGUAGUCUUUCUGGCAUUUGUCAAGCUAAGAUUAGGCUUACCCUAUCCCAUACCAGGGCACGUGGCUAGUUAAUUAGUCCUCGAUCAUCAAGCCUACACUCGAUAUAAUCCUUACUUAACCUGGGCGAAACAUCACAUGUUUUUGUACUUGGCCAAGUUUCAAUUUAAGUACUUCCAUCCUUAGGACUUAUUUUUGUACCUUAGGAUGAAAAGAAGAUCAAAGGGAAUCUUGCAGUAAGAUCCGUGGCAAGCCGGGCGGCGUUGGGGGCAGGGGAGCCGAGAGGAGGGGAUGGUGUGCUCUGCUAUUGGAUGGAGAGGGUGGUUGGGAGAUGAACCCUAGUGAGCGACGUCGCAGGGAUAAGGAGAUGAGAACAGCUAGAGCUUAAGCGGUGGGGAUAUUUUUAGAUUUUCCCUCUCCAAGCUUUUACUAACAAAAGAAAUUGCAAACAAUUCCUGGGUCCAAGAAUUAGAGUUUGAGAUAGAUUGGAAUGGUCCGAAUCAAAACAAUACUGACAUCGAUAUUUUAGUUAGUACUUGAUUUAAAUGAAAUCAAACAAAAAUGUAUUCAAGAACGCGCACUCGACUAGAUAUCAUUUGGAUUAACAACUUUGCGCCUUGUUUUUCAGGAUAUCGAUCUUGGUCAAAUUUAUAAAAAUCAAACCCUUUUUGAAAUCUCGUUCGUCUAUUAGACGCAUCCGAACAACAUAGACUUGACAUCUCAGAAGAUUUCUAAAGUCCAAACUUUGUGAAACAUUUGGGAUAGUCCAAAUAGAUAAUUAUAAAAAUGAUGUCGAACUAAGGAGAGACAAAGAUGAUUAGGACAUAUAAACUGAUAUCUCGUCAUUAUCUCGUGCUUAAUUCCAUCCUCGUUAUCGAACGGGACAUAAACACCUGGGGUAUUACAUUUGUGUCUUAGGUCAAUGUCUUAUUGCUGGUUUAGAUUUGUUUUGGUUCAUUUUAAUCCAUUUCAUCCACUGCGAUCCCACAAAUUCAAUUUCCAAAAUAGAUCCCAUGAAUGUUCAUCUCAUCAUUUCGUCCUUAUCAGAUUAGUUUCUGUCCAGUUCGUUAUUUUGAGCAUAAAUCUCACAUACAGACUCAGAAUUCAGUAUUCUUGUACUUCCUGGAAAGCUUAGAAAACUAUCUACAACUUUCUUAUUUACGAGAUUUCCAGAAAAUGUAAGUAUUAAGAAGUUAUUUGUAUUGGAAGUAAAUCUGUUUGUGAUCCUGGAAUAUCGGACCAGUCUAUAUUUCAGGGUCAAUAUCCCCCACUUUCUUUAUCCAAAAUAGCCAAUCCAUAUAUCUAAAAGAAAGAUAAAACAAAGACCUACAAGUUUCGUGUUCUAAGUUUUUAUGUUUGAGGUCUCUAAAUUUGUCAAAUGAUAUGUUGAAGUUAGAGCAUAAAAUCUAUGACAGACAGACAAGAAUUUUUUGAUACUCUUGUGUUAUAUCCUGUUUUGGCGGCACUCUUGUGAAAAAAAGAAUAUAAAAAGGCAAGUGUAAAAAAAUCCGCACAAAACAAAAAAAAAAUCAAAGAGAAAAAAAGUGCAUAUAAACACAAACACCAUUGAUAUGUGCACAUUUGUGAUUGUUUUUCAUUCUAACUUGUUCCCUUAAUGUUCCUAAAUUCUUGUCACCUCCUUUGCGUCUUCCUCCAGCCGUGUUAAUACACUUAUUCACCAUUGUUAUCUGUUACUGACACUUUGCAAUCACACCAACGUUCUUUGUGCAGUCACACCAGCUACCAUUUGGCACCUACAGUGCUGGUAAGAAAAUUGUAAGAGCAGGGUAAGACACUUUCAUAACCUGUGUUCUACCACCACCCCCGAGAGUAGUUGUUGGAUUCACAUAGUUUGUUUGUUGCAUUUUAUCUUUUUUUGUACUAACAAUGAUAGGACCAAAGACCCAAACGAACAAUAAUAAGGGUCCUAAGCCUACUAACGGCGAGUGUGACUUCUAUCUGGAAUUGAAGGAGAUGAUGCUCGCAUUGACUAAAGCCUUUGAGAGCCACACCAUUGAUGAUGAUUCGUCUCCCUCAGGGUCAACUUCAAGAAGGGGAGCAAGGUUGGACGACAUCAAGCAAUACAUCAACACCUUUUGCCGGCACCAACGACUUUGAGUCGAGGACGACUCAAAACUAAGAAGGGAAGAAUGAUGAGUACAAGGAUGUCAACUAUAUGGUCAAGAUCCAAUCAAUCAUAGAGUCCAAUCAAGUCUAGUUUAAUCGCGAAUCAGGUUAGGACUACAGGAGUGGUCCUCACGAAAAUAGAUGCCCAGACCACAUACGGACUCGAAAGCUAAGGAGAUAAGCUUUCCAACCCAACUGGUACCACGUCAAAAUAUGCUUAGAGCUGAUAGGAAUCGUCAUAACAAGAUAGCGUUCAGAAUCUGCCACAAAUCAGUAACACCGGCUUUUGGGUCUAAAGGCCAUGUACAUCCUUGGGUUGCUCGGUCACCCCCUUGGCCACCGCCUAAGUCAAGAAUGACUCCAAUUCAAGUGGAGGAAGAUGAUGAGGACAUCAACCCCAUACAAACAAUGCAUGGACCGACAACACGAGCACAUGAACCUUGUAGAGGAAAAACAAGGACUUGGGAAUAUCCAAGAUGUCAAGGAAGGGGAAGCUAGGAUUUUCACAACAAGAGAAAGCCAAGUCCGAUUCAACUUCGUCUCCACUUUGCAGUCCAGGACCAGUCUGCACUAAAACGAAUGCCUAGGAUGCAUUCGAACUUCGAUUAGGUUGGGCUUUACAUGUAUGGAAAGCUAAGGAGAUAAGCUUUUCAACCCAAUUGAAACCAACUUAAAAUUCAUUCGGAGUUAA